CCUACGGGAGGCAGCAGUGGGGAAUAUUGGACAAUGGGGGCAACCCUGAUCCAGCCAUGCCGCGUGUGUGAAGAAGGCCCUCGGGUUGUAAAGCACUUUCAGUGAGGAAGAACGCCUGGUGGUUAAUACCCAUCAGGAAAGACAUCACUCACAGAAGAAGCACCGGCUAACUCCGUGCCAGCAGCCGCGGUAAUACGGAGGGUGCGAGCGUUAAUCGGAAUUACUGGGCGUAAAGCGCGCGUAGGUGGCUUGAUAAGCCGGUUGUGAAAGCCCCGGGCUCAACCUGGGAACGGCAUCCGGAACUGUCAAGGUAGAGUGCAGGAGAGGAAGGUAGAAUUCCCGGUGUAGCGGUGAAAUGCGUAGAGAUCGGGAGGAAUACCAGUGGCGAAGGCGGCCUUCUGGACUGACACUGACACUGAGGUGCGAAAGCGUGGGUAGCAAACAGGAUUAGAUACCCCAGUAGU
rnacentral:rRNA from 1 species